CACUGGAGAGAUGCCGGAAGAGGAAUGUCUGCGACUAAGUCAAGGGCCACUGGAUAAGGGUUGUUGAUGGCAAAACAGGUUGGAGACUACAUAAGACUUUGACAGUUGGCGGGAAACCAUCAUCAACUGGAGAGAUGCCGGAAGAGGAAUGUCUGCGACUAAGUCAAGGGCCACUGGAUAAGGGUUGUUGAUGGCAAAACAGGUUGGAGACUACAUAAGACUUUGACAGUUGGCGGGAAACCAUCAUCAACUGGAGAGAUGCCGGAAGAGGAAUGUCUGCGACUAAGUCAAGGGCCACUGGAUAAGGGUUGUUGAUGGCAAAACAGGUUGGAGACUACAUAAGACUUUGACAGUUGGCGGGAAACCAUCAUCAACUGGAGAGAUGCCGGAAGAGGAAUGUCUGCGACUAAGUCAAGGGCCACUGGAUAAGGGUUGUUGAUGGCAAAACAGGUUGGAGACUACAUAAGACUUUGACAGUUGGCGGGAAACCAUCAUCAACUGGAGAGAUGCCGGAAGAGGAAUGUCUGCGACUAAGUCAAGGGCCACUGGAUAAGGGUUGUUGAUGGCAAAACAGGUUGGAGACUACAUAAGACUUUGACAGUUGGCGGGAAACCAUCAUCAACUGGAGAGAUGCCGGAAGAGGAAUGUCUGCGACUAAGUCAAGGGCCACUGGAUAAGGGUUGUUGAUGGCAAAACAGGUUGGAGACUACAUAAGACUUUGACAGUUGGCGGGAAACCAUCAUCAACUGGAGAGAUGCCGGAAGAGGAAUGUCUGCGACUAAGUCAAGGGCCACUGGAUAAGGGUUGUUGAUGGCAAAACAGGUUGGAGACUACAUAAGACUUUGACAGUUGGCGGGAAACCAUCAUCAACUGGAGAGAUGCCGGUAAAAAGAUGGCCAUAAAACAGUGACCGCUGAUUCGCAUUGAGUUCUUUCUUACAUAUUGGAUGACCUAUGUUUUUUAUUGUUUAAAUCAUUGCGGCUUGGAAUGCUCUUUAAGAAAAGGUAUGGUUAUGGGGGUGUCUACGCGCAAAAGUUUGACUUUAUUUUUUGUUAAAGUUAUUGCUUUUACAUUGAAUUUGUGCAGGAAAUCUUUUGGUAUGUUGUGACCUAAACUAACUUAUGAUAAAAAUGAAAUAUCAUCUGCAAGUGCAAAAUAUGACUGGGAAAGCAGAUUUUUGGUCAUUUCUUAGCAAAAGGGAAGAAAAUAAGUGCAUUAAAUGCAUGAAUUCAGAUUAUUUGACCUGGAAUAGUUGUUUUUCAAGUUGACCCCCCACCCUUAUAUAGUGGAAUAAGGGCUAAAUUGCUUUCCGACUUAAAUUCAACCGCAUAUUGGUUGACCGUGUCGCGUUAAUGUGUUACAUGAAGUUAGAAUUCAACGCCAGGGACUCCAUGAUCGAGUAACGCAACUAAAACUUUUGCGAAAAGCAUGAACAUUCAAACAGAGCCCCAUUUCACCGACAUGGAAUGGCAGGCAUUUUUACAGUAUGGACAGUGCAGCAGAUGCUUAACUGAGCCAGCCUUCAUAUUUAGUACAAUCAUGAAUUGAGCAAGAUUUUAUCACUUCAUAUUAUUCAUAAAAGUACACUUAAAAUACA